rnacentral:rRNA from 1 species
UACGUAGGGUGCGAGCGUUGUCCGGAAUUAUUGGGCGUAAAGAGCUUGUAGGCGGUUUGUCGCGUCUGCUGUGAAAAUCCGGGGCUCAACCCCGGACUUGCAGUGGGUACGGGCAGACUAGAGUGUGGUAGGGGAGACUGGAAUUCCUGGUGUAGCGGUGAAAUGCGCAGAUAUCAGGAGGAACACCGAUGGCGAAGGCACUCUGCUGGGCCGACACUGACACUGAGAGACGAAAGCUAGGGGAGCGAAUGGG